rnacentral:rRNA from 1 species
UGGGGAAUCUUAGGCAAUGGGGGAAACCCUGACCUAGCCAUGCCGCGUGGAGGAAGACACCCCUAUGGGGCGUAAACUCCUUUUCUGCCGGAAGAAAACCCUGUUUUUCAGGGCGUGACGGUACGGCAGGAAUAAGCACCGGCUAACUCCGUGCCAGCAGCCGCGGUAAUACGGAGGGUGCAAGCGUUGUCCGGAAUCACUGGGCGUAAAGGGUGCGCAGGCGGGACAGCAAGUCGGAGGUGAAAGCCCACGGCUUAACCGUGGAAGUGCCUUCGAAACUGCUGUUCUUGAGUCCCAGAGAGGUCGCCGGAAUUCGUGGUGUAGCGGUGAAAUGCGUAGAUAUCACGAGGAACACCAGAGGCGUAAGCGGGCGACUGGAUGGGUACUGACGCUGAGGCACGAGAGCGUGGGGAGCAAACA